rnacentral:rRNA from 1 species
UGAGGAAUAUUGGUCAAUGGGCGCGAGCCUGAACCAGCCAAGUAGCGUGAAGGAUGAAGGUCCUACGGACUGUAAACUUCUUUUAUAAGGGAAUAAAGUCAUCUACGUGUAGGUGUUUGUAUGUACCUUAUGAAUAAGCAUCGGCUAACUCCGUGCCAGCAGCCGCGGUAAUACGGAGGAUGCGAGCGUUAUCCGGAUUUAUUGGGUUUAAAGGGAGCGUAGACGGGUCGUUAAGUCAGCUGUGAAAGUUUGGGGCUCAACCUUAAAAUUGCAGUUGAUACUGGCGUCCUUGAGUACGGUUGAGGCAGGCGGAAUUCGUGGUGUAGCGGUGAAAUGCUUAGAUAUCACGAAGAACCCCGAUUGCGAAGGCAGCCUGCUAAACCGCCACUGACGUUGAGGCUCGAAAGUGUGGGUAUCAAACAGGAUUAGAUACCCUGGUAGUCCACACGGUAAACGAUGGAUACUCGCUGUUGGCGAUAGACUGUCAGCGGCUUAGCGAAAGCGUUAAGUAUCCCACCUGGGGAGUACGCCGGCAACGGUGAAACUCAAAGGAAUUGACGGGGGCCCGCACAAGCGGAGGAACAUGUGAUUUAAUUCGAUGAUACGCGAGGAACCUUACCCGGGCUUAAAUUGCAGAUGAAUUACGGUGAAAGCCGUAAGCCGCAAGGCAUCUGUGAAGGUGCUGCAUGGUUGUCGUCAGCUCGUGCCGUGAGGUGUCGGCUUAAGUGCCAUAACGAGCGCAACCCUUGUUGUCAGUUACUAACAGGUUCCGCUGAGGACUCUGACAAGACUGCCAUCGUAAGAUGUGAGGAAGGUGGGGAUGACGUCAAAUCAGCACGGCCCUUACGUCCGGGGCUACACACGUGUUACAAUGGGGGGUACAGAGGGCCGCUACCACGCGAGUGGAUGCCAAUCCCCAAAACCUCUCUCAGUUCGGACUGGAGUCUGCAACCCGACUCCACGAAGCUGGAUUCGCUAGUAAUCGCGCAUCAGCCACGGCGCGGUGAAUACGUUCCC